CCUCUCUUGGGGUCGCAUCUGGAGAGUUUCCAAUACUCUACCAGUCUUGGCUACAGGAGGGAGAGUCUAGCAGAGGUCUGUCCAUUCCAUUCCUAGCUUGGGCAGUGGCUAGCCAACGGAGGGCAAGCUGCUACAAGU